CUAAGUCAGAAUCCGGGCUAGACCGACGCAUGCGCUCGUCGCCCGUUUGCCGACCCGCAGUAGGGGCCAUUUGGCCCCAAGGGCACGUGUCGUUGGCUAAGCCGUCGUGGCGGAAGGGUCACGGUGGCCGCCUUGAAUUACAAUUCCGAUCGAGCGGCGAGCUGAAUCCUUUGCAGACGACUUAAAUACGCGACGGGGUAUUGUAAGGGGUAGAGUGGGCCUUGCUGCCACGAUCCUCUGAGAUUCAGCCCUUUGUCGCUCCCGAUUCGU
rnacentral:ncRNA from 1 species